AUUUGGUACCUGGCACAACUCUUCAAGGAGGUCGGCAUCAUUGAUUCCUGAAAUUUUAAGUAUUGUUCGGUGAACUUAACUCAAACAAUAAUAUGUCUAAGAACGACCAGACUACAAGUGAAGCUUAUGAUUACAGAUAAAGAAUCUAAACACUGAGUUUAAAUAUUUAAGUUCAGAACAUAAAUGUAAUCUGAUGAUGUCCAUCACAUUCCUAUGCUUCCAUGAUGAAUUAUACAUUUAAUAGCUACCAACAAGCAUAGGCAAUUAUGUAUGACAAACUAAAACAAUUUCUGCUCAACACAUGUAGUGGGUUUAACUUUUACAAUAAAGUAAAUUACAAGAUAUAUCAUAAGAAUUAAUAUCCCAAGGAGCAGAUCAUUGUACUUUUUUCGUCCAACAAAACAUGUAUGCAAGACAAGGUGUGGUGUAGCUAGGGAGUUCAAGCGAGGUGACAUGCAGUUUCGCACAAGCACGAGCUCAGAGCAAGCAAACGGAUGCAGGAAGAAGAGAGCUCACCAUGGCUCUUGUCGGUGUCAAAACCGUCGGAUCUCGGGUAGGGGGUCCCGAACUGUGCGUCUAGGCCAGAUGGUAACAGGAGACAGGGGACACUUUGUUUUACCCAGGUUCGGGACCUCUCGAUGGAGGUGCAACCCUACUCCUGCUUGAUUAAUAUUGAUGAUAUGGGUAGUACAAGAGUAGAUCUACCACGAGAUCAAGGAGGCUAAACCCUAGAAGCUAGCCUAUGGUAUGAUUGUGUAUGGAGUUGAUUCUCUACAGACUACAACCCUCCGGUUUAUAUAGACACCGGAUAGGGUUAGGGUUACACAGAGUCGGUUACAAUGGUAGGAGAUCUUUGAAUAUCGCACCGCCAAGCUUGCCUUCCACGCCAAGGAAAGUCCCCUCCGGACACGGGACGAAGUCUUCAAUCUUGUAUCUUCAUAGUCCAGGAGUCCGGCUGAAGGUAUAGUCCGGCUACCAGAACACCCCCUAAUCCAGGACUCCCUCAGUAGCCCCUGAACCAGACUUCAAUGACGACGAGUCCGGCGCGCAAAUUGUCUUCGGCAUUGCAAGGCUGGUUCCUCCUCCAAGUCCUUCAUAGAAGUUUGUAAUCACCAAGAGUAGUGUCCGGCUCUGUAAAAUAAGUUUCCACAUAUUGCUAUAGAGAGAAUAAUAUUAACACAAAUCAAAUCUGCUGACUUAUUCUGCAGUGCGCCAUCACACUACAGCCAAGUCCUUUACUUGAAUCGUUUUCACUUAUCCACCUCAGCAUGUUUUGCGAGGCGGUUUCCUUGGCACAUCUUGUCAAAGCAGAGAUCGUGUACCCUUUUUACGGGAUUCUCAUUAAUACGGAUGCGGGUAACCCAAUCGUGCCCGUUAGCAUGUUCUCUCGAUUAAAGGAGAGUCCCAAACGGUUACGGGGAGGGCUCCUGGUAUUGAACCUCUUAUAAAGAGACCAAGGCCUUACUCCUUUUUCCAAUCUCAAUUGAGUUCGCCCGUCGCCUCGAGUUCCAACACCCUAGGUUUCAGAUUCCUGGCGCUUCGGACCUUCGACAAUGUCCGGUUUCGACCUUCAAGGCCGAUGGAUGCCCUCCUCCAUCACGGAGGAGGAUGUGCUAAAGUUGAGAGAGGCUAAGUUCCUGACCGCCGAAAUUCCGCAUAGGUUGCCUGUUCAAGGGCAAGCUAUUCCCAAUCCCCAGCCCGGUGAGAGCGUAGUGUUCAUGUCUCACUUCCUUCGGGGGUUAGGCUUCCCGAUGGAUCUCUUUGUGAGGGGGCUGCUGUUCUAUUACGGGUUGGAAUUUCAUGACUUAGCUCCGGAGUCCAUCCUCCAUAUUUCCUCAUUCAUCGUUGUGUGCGAAGCGUUCCUCCGCGUUACUCCUCACUUCGGUUUAUUGCUCAAGACUUUUGAAGUGGAGCCGAAGAUGAUCGAGGGACGGCACGCAGAGUGCGGAGGUGCUGUCAUCAGCAAGAAUGCCGAUGCUCCAUGGCCCGAGGGCUCCUUUCAAGAAGAGCUCGGCUUGUGGCAACGAGAAUGGUUCUAUAUUACCGCUCCUAGGAGCGCCAAGUGGGUGGCGCCUCCUGCCUUUCGCUCGGGUCCCCCAUCACGGCUAGCGUCAUGGGUCAACAAAGGAUUAGAUUGGGGUUUGCCCAAAGACGUGCCCCUGUUACAGGGCCGAAUUAAGGAUCUCUUGGAAGGAGACCUUAAUUUGGUCAAGGUGACGCAGGUCAUGUUGAUUCGCCGAACAUUGCCCGGCAAACGUCGCCCCCUUCGUCUGUGGGAGUUUAAUCCGGAGGGACCGCGAGCUCUUCAGAAUUUUAUGGGCGCAAUGCCCGCGGAGAUGUAUAAACUAUUCUUCGGAUCACAAGAGAUGUGUCCGGAUUCAACCGAGGACGCAGGCCUAAGCUGCAAUCGCCCGGAUACUCAAGUAAGCAACCUUGUGCCCGGACCUUCUAUCCGUAUAAUCGUCGUAAACUUGCCCCUAAAAGAGCCGUCUUUUUAAAUAGGAGUGGACAGCGAAGGCGAAGCUGAUCAGGUGUCCGGCUCCCCUUCCUGAAACCAGGCCGGAUCCUGUGCUAGUCAGGAUGCUGGAGAUAAUGCCUUUGGAGGGGGAGGACAAGGAAGCUACGGCCUCCUCGAAGGAGGCUGCUCCGAAGGGAGGAACCGACAAUUCCUCUCCUAAAGGGAAGAAGAGAGCCGCCUCUGACGACCCAGAAACCAUGGCCUCAAAACAGGGGAGAAAAUCCUCGUCAGAGGGUCCGACGCCAGGGAGUUCCUUGGCCGGACUACGGCCUCAAGGGGAUCAGCCCUCCAGCGAGCCGUAAGUGGAGAAAAGAUUUUCCUUUUGAGGGAUGAGAGAAAUCCUUGAUUUUGCAUCUGAGAAGAUUUAACCGAAAUUUUACCUUGUAGCUCGGACCUCAGACCUUCGCAGCAGAGCUCGUCUUCGGGGGAUCUUCUUCCGGAGAUGAUGGAGAGCGGAACACCUCCCCCUGCCGUGCCGCCCAGCGAGGCGGGCGACCCUGAGGUGUCGUCGCGGAGGGUUUCUCUUUAUCCGGCAGGGAUGGGAGGUGGCAAUGCGGCCCCCCGAAGUCCUCCGCGUCUGGCCUUCGAAAGAGGCCAUAGGACAAGUCCGACACCAUCUGGUGCUCGACCGGAAGAACUAAAGAUUCUGUUGGGGCGAGCUUCUAUCUCAGAAGAGCACUGUGCCUUGAUGGGCAUGGUGAUUGAAAGGAUUUCAUCUGCGGAAAGCGGAUUGCAUGAGGCCGUCAAAAGUUUACUGACGGGUUUUGAGGUAUGUUAGAUAAUGUACACUUUUGUCAGUUGCGCAUAAAUAAGAUGCGCCCUGUGUAGAUAGUAGCCCCUGAGACUCUACGUGUUGUCAAGAAAUGACGGCACGUUGAGGAUCAUAAUCCCAGGUCUAAGAUGUCGCCUUUGAAUGUAGGUGGCGAGGUGUCCGGAAUCAAGCCGGACUAAUGAUUUGGCCGAACUAAAGCGGCAACUGGACGUGCCAGAUGCCGACAUCGUGCUUGUCAACAAGCGUCUUGAUGAGGCUCAAUGUAUGUAAUUCUUCGGGCGGCAUUAGGUAAGAGGAGCUUCAUGCCAGUGCCUUACAACAUGUGUGCUUGAUGCAGAUGGUACGACCGCCGUGGAGAAUCUUAGGGCAGAACUUGCCCGAGCUAAGGAGCAAGCCAGAAAAAGCGAUGCGGCUGCCAAGAAGGCCCUUGAAGAGCUGAGAGCCGAACAGGCUGCUCACUGCCGAAGCAAAGAGGAGAUGGCCGAGAUGGCCGAGAAGUUAAAGAGCGCUGCAGACCAUUGCGAACUUCUUGAGAAAGAAGACCAGGCGAAACAGACGGACUUAGAGAAGGCCGUUGCCGAUGCCAAGGAUGCUCGCUCUGCGAUGAGAGCUGCGAAAGAGGAGCUGCGUCAGGCCGAACAGAUUGCGGCUGGAAAGCCCUUUAUGCUGGGGAGGUAGUUUUGUGAUCCGAAGUUUGCUCCGUUGGACCGGAUGUGGAGUGUGAAGGACACCUAUCUGGACUUGGCAACAAGUGCCGCUGAUGCGACCGAACACUUUUGAGAUCAGAAAGAUUGCGAAGUGGAAAAGAUUUUCUGGUCGCAGUUUCGUAAUCCAGAGCGUCCACUGGCAGUGGAUGAUCGUUUGGCUCAGUGGGCCGAAAUGAAUAGGUUGUCCGGACUCGUCAUGAAGUACGUCAUGGAUCAUCUGUGGCCGGGGAGAUCGGAGCCGAAGAGUUAUUUCAGCUUGGUGCAGCAAUUCCUUGACGCGGUGCCGCGUAUAAAUGCAAUUAAGAGGUCAGCAUGCAUAGAGGGAGUUAGGAUGGCUCUAGCCCGUGUUAAGACAUACUAGGCAGAGAUGGAGACCACCGUUGUUGCGUCUCGAGAUUCGGACCAAAGCCGAGUACCUUCCGAGCACUAUUUUCAGGAAGUUCUUGAAGGCACUCGUGUAAUAGAGACGCAGUGCCCGAAAGAUGCUAUGUUAUGAUAGCAUAUGUAAUUAUAAAGUAAUAUUUUGAUAAACUGUAGUGGCUUAUUUUAUACUUGUGCCUCCAAGUAUUGUAAACACCUUCUAAUCGGCCGUUUAUAUCUAUGUAUGUAUAGAAUCUGAAAGAUGGCAGUCGUUGGCUUCAGCGCCCACGCACAUAGUGCGGGGGUGCUCGCGGAAGACGCAUUUUCACACUUAACCCAACAUCUUGGUCCUACAAAGGAGGUGAUAGCGCAGCGGGCCAGGCAACCGGACUAUAAUGCUUUAACACUUUCACUUGGCCAUAGGAGUUUGAAAAUGAGACUCUUUAGGUAGCUCCUUGGUGGCCACUGUGCUCGUCCGAAUUCGGGGCGCGUAUGUGCCUGACCGGGAAGCGGUCCUUCGUCAAAGCGGAGGAAUCCGAUAGAUUCCGAUCGAUCAUCGAGUGGCUGACCAGUCUCACGCUACAUCAUGACAGUCAGUUUUCGGCUUUCUCUACUUAGGUGCUCGGCCUGGCCGAACCGGGGGCACAAUCGCAGUAGUUCUCCUGGUGCUACCUUAGCCGAUAGAGCGGAACGUAAGGUAGCCGAACUCAGGAGCCGGGCAACCCAACAUUUGACCAAAGACAUGAUUCGGAGCUGAUGCAUAUAAUGCCAAAACUCACGACGCCAAACACUCCCUAAGGUGUUCGGUCUUUAUGAGUGCGGGCCAAACAACACUCUUUAUUGAAAAAGCCCCUAGUGUCCAGGUACGUGCAAAAAUUCUAACGUGGCCACAUGCCAAGACGCCAGCCUCCUCCUUGGUUAUAUUAGAAAGGAAAAGCAGGGGAUGUGUAGCAACAAGAGACAGUAAAAAAGGUUUACGUAGGGUCUUAAUCUGAAAAGAAUCCUUUAGGACGGGUCCCUACUGCACGUCUGCGCCUGUGUCUCCGUUGUGCCGUAUCCUGGACGGGCGCCGCACGACGUUCAUCAGUAAAAGAGAUGAACUGAGUUCAAAACGAGUCGUGCCGAAAAAGUUUAAAAUAAGCAAAGUAUAAAGUAAGAUAUGUAAGUUUGAGCUUUAUUAUCUCUUAUUGUAUAUGCGUGGAGCCCCUUGUGCGGGGGUAUAUGGCUUCUAGGCCUGCAUCAAUGAUGAUUUUGCACCGAACUCGUCUAUCCACGUUCGUGGUCUUUAAAUGACCUAUUUUGAAGUUUUUUGGCCGGUGAGGCCAUUUUGCUGUGGGGCUGUUGAAGCGGCCGCACUAUCCUCCGCUUGGGGAGGCGCACUUUAGUGCUUCCCCAACAAAGAGAUGAUGCCCCGCGGACCGGGCAUCUUAAGCGUAAGAGAUGCAUAAUGUGGUAUUGCGUUAAAUCGAGCAAAAGCUUCUCGUCCCAGUAGUGCUUGAUAGCGACUUGAGAACGGGACGACGUGGAAGGUCAGCUUUUCGCGGCGUUGGUUAUCGGCAGAGCCGAAUGUGACUGUGAGCCGGAGAAAACCCGUACAAUGGGUGUUCGGACCAGGUAUUACCCCUUGAAAGGAGGUUUUGCUAUGGCGGAUUCUUGCUGGGUGUAUCCCCAUGUGCUGUAUUGUAUCCUGAUAUAUCAGGUUUAGUCCGGUGCCGCCGUCCAUAAGGACAUUUGAAAACUUAAGUCCGCCAAUUAUUGCAUCAAGUAUCAAGGCGGUCCAUCCUACAUUCUUGAUAUUCCUAGAAUAAUCUAGCUGAUCGAAGGUGAUCGGUUUUGACAACCAGUGGCAGGAUCCUUUGGGGAUGGGCCGUGUGGUGCGUACCUUUACGGGCACCGCAUGUUUUGUUAUGUGAAGUGAGUUCACUGUUUUUACUUCUUGUGGGAAGUUCUUUUGUUUCCUGGUGCUCUACUGUUGGGGUUCGUCCUCGUCUUCGCUUUGUGUGUCGAGCCCCUUGUGUUCGACAUUGAGUCUGCCGGAUUGUUUGAAGACCCAACAGUCUCUGUGGGUAUGGUUAGCAGGCUUCCCAGGAGUACUCUGUAUCUGACAUAUCCUGUCCAGGAUUUUAUUUAAGUUGGAUGGAUCUUCCCUGUUAUCCUGGGUAGGCGAUUUUUCCUGAUUUUGUCGUGAGCCUUUGAAUCCGGCAUUGACUGCCGUGCUCUUCGGACUUUUGUCCUUAGUCCAGCGACGGUCCUUGUUGCGUCACGGUCUUCCGUUUCCAUCCCUGGUUUCGGAUGUACUUGGGUCGCUGGGGCUGCACCUUGCCAACCAGCUAUCCUCCCCUACACAAAAGCGGGUCAUGAGGCUUGUUAGUGCGGCCAUUGUUCUUGGUUUUUCUUGGCCGAGGUGUCUGGCGAGCCAUUCGUCUCGGACGUUAUGUCUGAAAGCUGCUAAGGCUUCGGCGUCCGGACAGUCGACUAUCUGAUUCUUUUUAGUGAGGAAUCUAUUCCAGAACUGGUGAGCUGAUUCUCCGGGUUGUUGAGUUAUGUGACUAAGAUCGUCUGCAUCCGGAGGGCGGACAUAGGUCCCUUGAAAGUUUUCUCGGAAAGCAUCCUCGAGGUCUUCCUAGCUUCCAAUUGAGUUUUCGGGGAGGCUUUUAAGCCAAUGCCGGGCUGGCCCUUUAAGCUUAAGGGGUAGAUAUUUUAUGGCGUGGAGAUCAUCUCCUCUAGCCAUGUGUAUGUGGAGGAUAUAAUCCUCGAUCCAGACUCCAGGGUCUGUUGUUCCAUCGUAUGCCUCUAUGUUUACGGGUUUGAAUCCCUCGGGGAAUUCAUAGUCCAGGACCUCAUCGGUGAAACAUAGGGGGUGUGCGGCACCCCUGUAUUUGGGUAUGCCGGAUUCUGAUGAUGGCUUCGUAGCGUUGCUUAUGAGGGCUUGCUUUCUUGGCCCAUAAAUGGACCUGACUGGGCCAUGAUGCGAAUCCUUAAGAGGGUCGCAUGCCGAUUUAGGUGCGGCGCCGCUUGUCGCUUUAUGGGGUCGUCUAUCCGACCGUGCGGCUUUUUCAUUUUUUGAAUGCGAGGGCUCUGAGGCCUCCUCGUCGAAUUCAGGCAGUAGCUUUCUUUUCGGAUAGCUUUUAGUGCGGCGACUAUCGCCGUACAUAUCUGUGGCAUUGAUUACCUUGCUCCAUCUGAUCUGGAGUGCAUCUUCCGCUGUUUUUAGCUUCCGCUUCUGCUUUUUUAGGCUCCGUGCAGUUGCAACGAGCCUCUCAUGGAGAUUCUUCUGUUCCAUAGGUUUAUUUGGCUUGAGGUCGUUCGGAAUGCCGUUUUCGCCGGGGGAGGGAUGUUCAGUUUUUCUAUCUGUGUUGCCCUGUUCGGACGGUUGCUCUAAGGCCUGUUCAUCGUCGACCGGCUCGUCCUACUCUAUGGCUGGGUUUUUGUCGAGGCGGGGCUUGGGCCGGCGUUUGCGCCGACGCCUUGAUUGCUUUUCGGGGGGUCGAUCUCUCGUCCUAUCCCCUUUCUCCUCGUUGUCGCUUCCCUUGGGGGUGUCCACCAUGUACACAUCGUGAGAUGGGGUGGCUGUCCAAUGCCCUAUGGGCGUUGGUUCGUCGAUAUGUCCUCCAUCGCCAUCCAUGCUGUCGAUGUCUUCGGAGCCGAAGUCGGGCACGUCGUUUAAAUUGUCGGCAGUGGCUACCAAGUGGGUGGUGGGUGGGUUUUGAAUUUCCUCACUGUCUGUAUCCCACCCUUGCUGACCGUAGUCCGGCCAGGGCUCUCCUGAUAAAGAGAGAGACUUAAGAGAAUUCAGGAUGUCGCAAAGAGGCGAAUGCUGAAAGAUGUCCGCUGCGGUGAACUCCAUUACCGGCGCCCAAUCGGAUUCAAUUGGCAGGGGCGCAGGGGGCUCGGAGUUCGGAGAGGAAUCCGGCUCCUUGGAGUCACGGGCCAUGCGGAGUGCGGGGCUGGAGUUCGGCUCGAUCGCCUCUGAGAUCGCAGCCCCUGAGGCAGCGUCCAACCGCUGAUCCUCGAUCGGUGCAGUAGGUUCUUAAUCAAUGGUCAAAACCGAUGCGUGUGCGGCCUCCACAGCGCUGUUCGGCGGCAGAGCUAUAUCAUGCCCAUCGAGACAGUGCGGCACGCUUGGCUGUGGCUCGAAUCCGUCGAAGAUCAAGUCUUCGCGGAUGUCAGCCGUAUAGUUUAGGCUUCCAAACCUGACCUGAUGGCCAGGGGCGUAGCUUUCGAUCUGCUCAAGGUGGCCAAGCGAAAUGGCCCGCAGAGCGAAGCUGCUGAAGACGAAGAUCUGUCCGGGGAGAAAAGUCUCACCCUGGACUGCAUCGUUGUUGAUGAUCGAAGGAGCCAUCGGGCCUAAAGGCGACGACACAGAGGAACUCUCAAUGAAAGCACCAAUGUCGGUGUCAAAACCGACGGAUCUCGGGUAGGGGGUCCCAAACUGUGCGUCUAGGCCGGAUGGUAACAGGAGACAGGGGACACUUUGUUUUACCCAGGUUCGGGCCCUCUCGAUGGAGGUGCAACCCUACUCCUGCUUGAUUAAUAUUGAUGAUAUGGGUAGUACAAGAGUAGAUCUACCACGAGAUCAAGGAGGCUAAACCCUAGAAGCUAGCCUAUGGUAUGAUUGUGUAUGGAGUUGAUUCUCUACGGACUACAACCCUCCGGUUUAUAUAGACACCGGAUAGGGUUAGGGUUACACAGACUCGGUUACAAUGGUAGGAGAUCUUUGAAUAUCGCACCGCCAAGCUUGCCUUCCACGCCAAGGAAAGUCCCCUCCGGACACGGGACGAAGUCUUCAAUCUUGUAUCUUCAUAGUCCAGGAGUCCGGCUGAAGGUAUAGUCCGGCUAUCCGAACACCCCCUAAUCCAGGACUCCCUCAGGUCUCAUGUAGCCGACGCGGAAGAGGCGGCAUGUCCGUUCAACAGAAGAUGUUGGGGCCGAGCGAGCCUACUACCGCACACCUCGAUGAGCCCACCCUUCUACUCUGCAAAUCCUGUUGCCACUGCACAUGAUGGACAAGAGACAUAACACGAUAAUGUUGAUCAAAUCGAAGGAUAAAUCAUGUCUAGGAACAAAGAAGGAGCUUAGAUAGCUCACAUUUCAUGUCCUGGAAAUCAUGUCGAGGUACACCGAACACCACCUAUCAAUGCUCAGCAGCUGCACCUUGAUACACAGAGUGAAAAAAAAGAGGUCAAUCACCUCCACAAA
rnacentral:lncRNA from 1 species